rnacentral:rRNA from 1 species
UACGGAGGGGACUAGCGUUGUUCGGAAUUACUGGGCGUAAAGCGCACGUAGGCGGAUUUGUAAGUCAGGGGUGAAAUCCCGGGGCUCAACCUCGGAACUGCCUUUGAUACCGCAAAUCUCGAGUCCGGAAGAGGUGAGUGGAAUUCCUAGUGUAGAGGUGAAAUUCGUAGAUAUUAGGAAGAACACCAGUGGCGAAGGCGGCUCACUGGUCCGGUACUGACGCUGAGGUGCGAAAGCGUGGGGAGCAAACAGG